GAGCGAACAGAUAAGGAGCUUGCUCCUUUGACGUUAGCGGCGGACGGGUGAGUAACACGUGGAUAACCUACCUAUAAGACUGGGAUAACUUCGGGAAACCGGAGCUAAUACCGGAUAACAUAUUGAACCGCAUGGUUCAAUAGUGAAAGGCGGCUUUGCUGUCACUUAUAGAUGGAUCCGCGCCGUAUUAGCUAGUUGGUAAGGUAACGGCUUACCAAGGCAACGAUACGUAGCCGACCUGAGAGGGUGAUCGGCCACACUGGAACUGAGACACGGUCCAGACUCCUACGGGAGGCAGCAGUAGGGAAUCUUCCGCAAUGGGCGAAAGCCUGACGGAGCAACGCCGCGUGAGUGAUGAAGGUCUUCGGAUCGUAAAACUCUGUUAUCAGGGAAGAACAAAUGUGUAAGUAACUGUGCACAUCUUGACGGUACCUGAUCAGAAAGCCACGGCUAACUACGUGCCAGCAGCCGCGGUAAUACGUAGGUGGCAAGCGUUA
rnacentral:rRNA from 1 species